CAUAUCAACUUUCUAUGCCAUUUACUGUGCCUACCAUGGUUACCACGGGUAAUGUGGAAUCAGGGUUCGAUUCCA
rnacentral:rRNA from 1 species